rnacentral:rRNA from 1 species
AUGAAUAAAAAUGCUAGCCCUGGCCCGGACGGUUUUGGCCCUGGGUUCUACAGAAAAUUUUGGCAUAUUCUCAAAGAAAAAAUCCGCAAUUUCUUCGCUGAUUUCCAUGCCCUGCGUUCGGACCUAUCCUGCCUCAACCGCGCCCUCAUUAUUCUUCUCCCGAAGAAUAAUGACGCCAGGUCCCCAAAUGACUUUCGCCCCAUCUCCCUUCAAAAUUGCCCUAUCAAAGGUGUUGCUAAACUCCUUACCAACAGACUGAAAGCGCAUAUCCCUCUUCUGGUCCACGCCGACCAAACUGGCUUCCUGUCUGGUCGCAAUAUCUUCGAAAACUUCCUCUACGCCGCUGACAUUCUUCACUGCUGCGCCAAGAAAAAGGCUCCAGCCAUUGUCGUCAAGCUGGACUUUCGGAAAGCGUUCGACUCAAUCUGUUGGUCCUCCCUCCUCCACACCCUACAGGUUAGGGGCUUCCCACCUCGCUGGUGUGCCUGGAUCCGAUCUCUGCUUGCCUCUGGAUCCAUCGCUGUUAUGCUUAAUGGCAUCCCAGGUAAGUGGAUCCAAUGCAAGAACGGACUCCGGCAAGGUGACCCCCUAUCUCCUUAUCUGUUCAUUAUUAUGGCCGAUAUUCUACAGCAAAUGAUCAUUAACGCUCCUAAGGAUGGUAUGCUUUUACACCCCUUGUGUCCCCACCUCCCGUGCCCUGUUCCGCAAUAUGCGGACGACACUCUUAUCAUAGUUAAAGCCACCACAACUGCUGCCAAGCACCUCAAACACAUUCUAGACACCUUUGCCGCAGCCACUGGUCUUCAAAUCAACUUCACCAAAACGACUUUCAUCCCCCUUAACGUGGAUCCGCAGGAGGCCGCUCUUAUGGCCUCUGACCUUGGAACGACCAUCUCUUCCUUUCCUCAAAUCAACUUCACCAAAACGACUUUCAUCCCCCUUAACGUGGAAGGAGACGAAAACUCCCGUUUCUUCCAUGCCUCAGCCUCUGCCCGCCUUCACAAAAAUAAGAUCACGGUCCUGGAGGCCAACGGCUCCGAGUUCUUUUCCCAUGAUGCUAAAUCAAAAAUCCUCUCAGACUUCUAUACCUCCCUUCUCGGCACUGCCUUUCAACCCACUUGGUCCUUCUCCCUCCUAGAUUUAUAUCCGUCACCUAUUCCCUAA